rnacentral:rRNA from 1 species
AACGAACGCUGGCGGCAUGCCUAACACAUGCAAGUCGAACGAGACCUUCGGGUCUAGUGGCGCACGGGUGCGUAACGCGUGGGAACCUGCCCUUAGGUUCGGAAUAACUCCCCGAAAGGGGUGCUAAUACCGGAUAAUGUCUUCGGACCAAAGAUUUAUCGCCUUUGGAUGGGCCCGCGUUGGAUUAGCUAGUUGGUAGGGUAAAAGCCUACCAAGGCGACGAUCCAUAGCUGGUCUGAGAGGAUGAUCAGCCACACUGGGACUGAGACCCGGCCCAGACGCGAGGCGGGAGGGGGGAGGGGGGAAUAGUGGGCAGGGGCCGAAGGCCGCAACGACGAGUGCGGGGUGAGGGAGAAGGGGUUGGGGUUUGAAAGCCUCUUUUCCCGGGCGUGAAAGACACGAACCGGGAAAAAAACGCCCGGGAACUACCUG